rnacentral:rRNA from 1 species
UACGGGGGGGGCAAGCGUUGUUCGGAAUUACUGGGCGUAAAGGGCUCGUAGGCGGCCAACUAAGUCAGACGUGAAAUCCCUCGGCUUAACCGGGGAACUGCGUCUGAUACUGGAUGGCUUGAGUUCGGGAGAGGGACGCGGAAUUCCAGGUGUAGCGGUGAAAUGCGUAGAUAUCUGGAGGAACACCGGUGGCGAAGGCGGCCAUCUGGACGGUGACUGACGCUGAGACGCGAAAGCGUGGGUAGCAAACAGG